rnacentral:rRNA from 1 species
GGGUUGUGAGGUUAAGCGACUAAGCGUACACGGUGGAUGCCCUGGCAGUCAGAGGCGAUGAAGGACGUGCUAAUCUGCGAAAAGCGUCGGUAAGGUGAUAUGAACCGUUAUAACCGGCGAUGUCCGAAUGGGGAAACCCAGUGCAAUUCGUUGCACUAUCGUUAACUGAAUACAUAGGUUAACGAGGCGAACCGGGGGAACUGAAACAUCUAAGUACCCCGAGGAAAAGAAAUCAACCGAGAUUCCCCCAGUAGCGGCGAGCGAACGGGGAGCAGCCCAGAGUCUGAAUCAGCUUGUGUGUUAGUGGAACGGUCUGGAAAGUCCGACGGUACAGGGUGAUAGUCCCGUACACCAAAAUGCACAGGCUGUGAACUCGAAGAGUAGGGCGGGACACGUGGUAUCCUGUCUGAAUAUGGGGGGACCAUCCUCCAAGGCUAAAUACUCCUGACUGACCGAUAGUGAACCAGUACCGUGAGGGAAAGGCGAAAAGAACCCCGGCGAGGGGAGUGAAAAAGAACCUGAAACCGUGUACGUACAAGCAGUGGGAGCACCUUCGGGUGUGACUGCGUACCUUUUGUAUAAUGGGUCAGCGACUUAUAUUCUGUAGCAAGGUUAACCGUAUAGGGGAGCCGCAGGGAAACCGAGUCUUAACUGGGCGUUAAGUUGCAGGGUAUAGACCCGAAACCCGGUGAUCUAGCCAUGGGCAGGUUGAAGGUUGGGUAACACUAACUGGAGGACCGAACCGACUAAUGUUGAAAAAUUAGCGGAUGACUUGUGGCUGGGGGUGAAAGGCCAAUCAAACCGGGAGAUAGCUGGUUCUCCCCGAAAGCUAUUUAGGUAGCGCCUCGUGAAUUCAUCUUCGGGGGUAGAGCACUGUUUCGGCUAGGGGGUCAUCCCGACUUACCAACCCGAUGCAAACUACGAAUACCGAAGAAUGUUAUCACGGGAGACACACGGCGGGUGCUAACGUCCGUCGUGAAGAGGGAAACAACCCAGACCGCCAGCUAAGGUCCCAAAGUCAUGGUUAAGUGGGAAACGAUGUGGGAAGGCACAGACAGCCAGGAUGUUGGCUUAGAAGCAGCCAUCAUUUAAAGAAAGCGUAAUAGCUCACUGGUCGAGUCGGCCUGCGCGGAAGAUGUAACGGGGCUAAACCAUGCACCGAAGCUGCGGCAGCGACACUAUGUGUUGUUGGGUAGGGGAGCGUUCUGUAAGCCUGCGAAGGUGUGCUGUGAGGCAUGCUGGAGGUAUCAGAAGUGCGAAUGCUGACAUAAGUAACGAUAAAGCGGGUGAAAAGCCCGCUCGCCGGAAGACCAAGGGUUCCUGUCCAACGUUAAUCGGGGCAGGGUGAGUCGACCCCUAAGGCGAGGCCGAAAGGCGUAGUCGAUGGGAAACAGGUUAAUAUUCCUGUACUUGGUGUUACUGCGAAGGGGGGACGGAGAAGGCUAUGUUAGCCGGGCGACGGUUGUCCCGGUUUAAGCAUGUAGGCUGAUUGUCCAGGCAAAUCCGGAUAAUCAAGGCUGAGGUGUGAUGACGAGGCACUACGGUGCUGAAGUAACAAAUGCCCUGCUUCCAGGAAAAGCCUCUAAGCAUCAGGUAACAUCAAAUCGUACCCCAAACCGACACAGGUGGUCAGGUAGAGAAUACCAAGGCGCUUGAGAGAACUCGGGUGAAGGAACUAGGCAAAAUGGUGCCGUAACUUCGGGAGAAGGCACGCUGGUGUGUAGGUGAAGUCCCUGCGGAUGGAGCUGAGACCAGUCGAAGAUACCAGCUGGCUGCAACUGUUUAUUAAAAACACAGCACUGUGCAAACACGAAAGUGGACGUAUACGGUGUGACGCCUGCCCGGUGCCGGAAGGUUAAUUGAUGGGGUUAUCCGUAAGGAGAAGCUCUUGAUCGAAGCCCCGGUAAACGGCGGCCGUAACUAUAACGGUCCUAAGGUAGCGAAAUUCCUUGUCGGGUAAGUUCCGACCUGCACGAAUGGCGUAAUGAUGGCCAGGCUGUCUCCACCCGAGACUCAGUGAAAUUGAACUCGCUGUGAAGAUGCAGUGUACCCGCGGCAAGACGGAAAGACCCCGUGAACCUUUACUAUAGCUUGACACUGAACAUUGAGCCUUGAUGUGUAGGAUAGGUGGGAGGCUUUGAAGCGUGGACGCCAGUCUGCGUGGAGCCAACCUUGAAAUACCACCCUUUAAUGUUUGAUGUUCUAACGUUGGCCCCUGACCGGGGUUGCGGACAGUGUCUGGUGGGUAGUUUGACUGGGGCGGUCUCCUCCCAAAGCGUAACGGAGGAGCACGAAGGUUAGCUAAUCCUGGUCGGACAUCAGGAGGUUAGUGCAAUGGCAUAAGCUAGCUUGACUGCGAGCGUGACGGCGCGAGCAGGUGCGAAAGCAGGUCAUAGUGAUCCGGUGGUUCUGAAUGGAAGGGCCAUCGCUCAACGGAUAAAAGGUACUCCGGGGAUAACAGGCUGAUACCGCCCAAGAGUUCAUAUCGACGGCGGUGUUUGGCACCUCGAUGUCGGCUCAUCACAUCCUGGGGCUGAAGUAGGUCCCAAGGGUAUGGCUGUUCGCCAUUUAAAGUGGUACGCGAGCUGGGUUUAGAACGUCGUGAGACAGUUCGGUCCCUAUCUGCCGUGGGCGCUGGAGAAUUGAGGGGGGCUGCUCCUAGUACGAGAGGACCGGAGUGGACGCAUCACUGGUGUUCGGGUUGUCAUGCCAAUGGCACUGCCCGGUAGCUAAAUGCGGAAGAGAUAAGUGCUGAAAGCAUCUAAGCACGAAACUUGCCCCGAGAUGAGUUCUCCCUGAGACUAUAAGUCUCCUGAAGGAACGUUAAAGACGAUGACGUUGAUAGGCCGGGUGUGUAAGCGCAGCGAUGCGUUGAGCUAACCGGUACUAAUGAACCGUGAGGCUUAACCUUACAACGCCGAAG